rnacentral:rRNA from 1 species
GCAAGAUUAAAACUCAAAGGAAUUGACGGGGACCCGCACAAGCGGUGGAGCGUGUUGUUUAAUUGGAUGAUAAGCCAAGAACCUUACCAAGGUUUGACUUCCUGCGAAGGACUACGAAAGUAGACUGUGCCUUUUGGAACGCAGUGACAGGUGAUGCAUGGCCGUCGUCAGCUCGUGUCGUGAGAUGUUGGGUUAAGUCCCGCAACGAGCGCAACCCUUAUGUUUAGUUGGAUUUUUCUAAACAGACUGCCUCGGUAACGGGGAGGAAGGAGGGGAUGAUGUCAGGUCCGUAUUUCCCUUACACCUUGGGCUACAAACGCGCUACAAUGGCCGGUACAAAGGGCAGCUAAGUCGCGAGACGGAGCAAAUCCCAUCAAAGCCGGUCCCAGUUCGGAUUGCAGGCUGAAACUCGCCUGCAUGAAGUCGGAAUCGCUAGUAACCGUAGGUCAGCACACUACGGUGAAUACGUUCCCGGGUCUUGUACACACCGCCCGUCAUACCAUGGAAGUCGCCAGCACCCGAAGUUCGACAUUUGUCGACCUAAGGUGAAGGAGAUAACUGGGGUAAAGUCGUAACAAGGUA